CCACCACCUCCCAGGUUCAAGCAAUUCUCCUGCCUCAGCCUCCCAAGUAGCUGGUAUUACAGGUCCCUGUCACCAUGCGCCUGGCUAAUUUUUUUUUUUUGUAUUUUUAGUAGGGACGGGGUUUUGCUAUGUUGACCAGGCUGGUUUUGAACUCCUGACCUCAAGUGAUCCACCUGCCUCAGCCUCCCCAAGUGCUGAGAUUACAGGUGUGAGCCACCGCGCCCGGCCUCCUGAAGUUUUUUAGACGUUAAUAGAAACCACUGGACAAAUUUAAUAAUCUCUUCUCAGUCUCCAUCCUUUCUGUGUUUGAAACAACAUUGAUUUCUUACUGGCCUUCAGAAACACUUAUUGUUUUUCUCCUUCUCAGUAUACUGCUUCUCCACCUCAUUUGCUUUCUUCUUCCUCCUGUGGAAUUUCCACCAAAGCUUCAUUCUCCCGAGACAAAAUCUCAGAGCCACCUUUCCAGGUAUGUCCUCAGCUAAACCAUGGUCCUUUAUCUCCAGCUGUUCACAUCUCUGCACAGCUGACCUAGUGUCACCUAAUAUGCAAACAAAGCUUCUCUUCCUCUCUCACAAUCAUCGUUCUGAACUUUUCCCACUUUUGUUGAUACCACUAUUCACUCAAUUCCUUCAUUUCCAGCUCUAAGAAUUAAUUAUCUGAAGUUUGUUUUCUCCCAAGCCCAUCACACUGAUUCAUCAGUUGCUUCCCCAAGCACAUCAUCUUAAUUCAUGCCUGUUACGAUGGCCUUCAAGGUGCCCUAGUUUCACCACACUGAAAUCCACCCUAUAUUAGUGUGAUUACACUGCUUUCAUCAUAUUAUUCCCCUGUCCAGGAACUCAGUUCCCCAUCUAAACAAACACAUGAUCCUAUUAUCAACAUACCCUGCCUAAAUUGCCCGUUUU
rnacentral:lncRNA from 1 species